GCCCACUGAUUGCCCUCACUCUUCUCUCCCCCGCAGCUCUCUCUUCGCUUUCUCUCUCCAUUGUCGCUCCAUGACCACCACCCCUCUCUUUCUCCCUUUGUCGCGAAAACCUAAGCAUCUCUCUCUCUCUCUCUCUCUCAUAGGUCAUAAAUAGAUAGUCAUGCCUACUACAUGGAUUAAUAUUAUCAGUUUUAUAAUUCUCUGCUUACACUGCGUCCCAUUGGGAUGCUCAAGUAAAGAAACUUAAUAUUGCAAUUAGUGAUAAACAAACUGUCUCCUUGCAUGUUUUUUUGCACUAUAACAAGACUAAUAUUUGAACUAGGUUAUCUCUUGGUUUAGAAGGCAUGUUUGAUGCUUGUCAUCUUAUUGUUAUUGUUAGUAUUUUGUAAACUCUGUUUGUUAGAACCUGUGAGUGGAGAUAUAGAAGAGUGUAGGAUGUGGAAGGGUUUGAGACCAGGGGUAGUAUUCAAGAGGCUACCUGCUCUGCCCCUCAAGAUCUCAACCAAUUGCAACUUAAUACCUCAGGUUCGCUUCUCUUAGCUUCUGGGAUUCUUCUUUUAUUUUUUUUAUAUUUUUUUUUCAUGUUUUGCUUUGCGUUUGUGGGUUGUAGUCUAUAUGUAACAUAAAACUCAUGAUAAACCUUUGAGGAAAAACUUUGAUUUCCCUUCAAAGUGAGGUAUAUUAUCAAGGAUUGACAUGGAUGAGCCUUUCUUAAUUGUUCAUUAUUUGCAGGGGUAGCUUCUGAAGUUUGAUGCAGUUGGUAUAUCUUGUGAAUGAGCUCAAGUUUAAUAUUCGUGUUUAUACAUCUGUUAGUGUUUGCGUUUUGUGGAAAUAUAUAUUUAGGAAAAGUGAUCUUUUCAUGUUCCUGUUGUAAAAGCCCUUCUCUUCCCUGGAGCUGUUGCAAAAGGUGCACCACGAAAUUACCAGAUCUUCUAAGCUUAAUGUCCAUAUAUAGAAGGAACCUAGCCUAGGGAGACAACAUUGCACGUUUAACAGAAUUGAAACA